rnacentral:rRNA from 1 species
GAUGAACGCUAGCGGCAGGCUUAAUACAUGCAAGUCGUGGGGCAGCGCAGGUAGCAAUACUGGGCGGCGACCGGCAAACGGGUGCGGAACACGUACACAACCUUCCGAGAAGUGGGGAAUAGCCCAGAGAAAUUUGGAUUAAUACCCCGUAACAUAACGAUGUGGCAUCACAUUGUUAUUAUAGCUUCGGCGCUUCUUGAUGGGUGUGCGGCUGAUUAGAUAGUUGGCGGGUAACGGCCCACCAAGUCUACGAUCAGUAGCUGAUGUGAGAGCAUGAUCAGCCACACGGGCACUGAGACACGGGCCCGACUCCUACGGGGAGGCAGCAGUAAGGAUAUUGGUCAAUGGACGCAAGUCUGAACCAGCCAUGCCGCGUGAAGGAUGAAGGCCUU